rnacentral:rRNA from 1 species
ACGGUCCUACGGGAGGCAGCAGUGAGGAAUAUUGGUCAAUGGACGGAAGUCUGAACCAGCCAUGCCGCGUGCAGGAAGACGGCCCUAUGGGUUGUAAACUGCUUUUAUACGGGAAGAAACCUCUCUACGUGUAGAGACUUGACGGUACCGUAGAUAGUU